AGGAUCACUGGCCUCUAACAUCACCAGUUAGAUCCAGUAAGAUGACAACACCGGAGAGAUGUCCCAGUCCUCUUCUUCCACAGGAUGGUUCAGAAGAACAUCACAAUAUCCCAUGGGAUGAUGAUCAGUUUGUGAAUCCGGGUGAAGAUCUGAACAUUAUAUAUGUU